GGGGAGGCGAAUCUACAAAACCGGUCUCAGUUCGGAUCGCAGUCUGCAACUCGACUGCGUGAAGCUGGAAUCGCUAGUAAUCGCGCAUCAGCCAUGGCGCGGUGAAUACGUUCCCGGGCCUUGUACACACCGCCCGUCAAGCCAUGGAAGUCUGGGGGACCUGAAGACGGUAACCGCAAGGAGCCGUUAAGGGUAAAAACAGGUAACUAGGGCUAAGUCGUAACAAGGUACC
rnacentral:rRNA from 1 species